UACGAAGGGGGCUAGCGUUGCUCGGAAUCACUGGGCGUAAAGGGUGCGUAGGUGGGUCUUUAAGUCAGGGGUGAAAUCCUGGAGCUCAACUCCAGAACUGCCUUUGAUACUGGCGAUCUCGAGUCCGGGAGAGGUGAGUGGAACUGCGAGUGUAGAGGUGAAAUUCGUAGAUAUUCGCAAGAACACCAGUGGCGAAGGCGGCUCACUGGCCCGGUACUGACGCUGAGGUGCGAAAGCGUGGGGAGCAAACAGGGAUUAAGAAACCC
rnacentral:rRNA from 1 species